rnacentral:rRNA from 1 species
GCAUAUCAAUAAGCGGAGGAAAAGAAACCAACAGGGAUUGCCCUUAGUAACGGCGAAGUGAAGCGGCAACAGCUCAAAUUUGAAAUCUGGCCUCGGCCCGAGUUGUAAUUUGCAGAAGGAAGCUUUGGGCGCGGCGCCUUCCGAGUCCCCUGGAACGGGGCGCCAUAGAGGGUGAGAGCCCCGUAUGGUUGGACGCCUAGCCUGUGUAAAGCUCCUUCGACGAGUCGAGUAGUUUGGGAAUGCUGCUCAAAAUGGGAGGUAAAUUUCUUCUAAAGCUAAAUACCGGCCAGAGACCGAUAGCGCACAAGUAGAGUGAUCGAAAGAUGAAAAGCACUUUGAAAAGAGGGUUAAAUAGCACGUGAAAUUGUUGAAAGGGAAGCGCUUGUGACCAGACUUGCGCCGGGCUGAUCAUCCGGUGUUCUCACCGGUGCACUCUGCCCGGCUCAGGCCAGCAUCGGUUCUCGCGCGGGGACAAAGGUCCCGGGAAUGUAGCUCCUCCGGGAGUGUUAUAGCCCGGGGCGCAAUGCCCGCGCGGGGACCGAGGCUCGCGCUCUGCAAGGAUGCUGGCGUAAUGGUCAUCAGCGACCCGUCUUGAAACACGGACCAAGGAGUCAAGGUUUUGCGCGAGUGUUUGGGUGUCAAACCCGCACGCGUAAUGAAAGUGAACGUAGGUGAGAGCUUCGGCGCAUCAUCGACCGAUCCUGAUGUAUUCGGAUGGAUUUGAGUAGGAGCGUUAAGCCUUGGACCCGAAAGAUGGUGAACUAUGCUUGGAUAGGGUGAAGCCAGAGGAAACUCUGGUGGAGGCUCGCAGCGGUUUCUGACGUGCAAAUCGAUCGUCAAAUCUGAGCAUGGGGGCGAAAGACUAAUCGAACCAUCUAGUAGCUGGUUACCGC